ensembl:lncRNA
GUGUGUGUGUGUGUGUGUGUGUCAAUUUACGCAACCCCGAGUUGCCCCACGAGGACUUGGCAGCAAAUGAAGUACAAAAAUAUAGUUUAAACAGCAAAUCGAAAAAAUGCAGAGGCCCGGCAGACUGGAGGGGGUCCACCACCUGCAGCCCUCACAGAGGCUGAGGAGAUGGCCCUCAGCCAACAGAGUAUGCGUCCUGUGGCUGAGGGCAUCCCUGGGGGGAGCUCCUCUGAUCCCCCCCACCCCCCAGGAUAUAAGUGCCUUUACAGUAUAAGAGUUACUGAUGGCGUCAUCGCCCUACUUGAACCAGAUGCCCUCACCAACCUCCAUGCAAUUGUAACAAUUCAAAAGAUGCAAAAGGAUGCUUUGGAGAUCCAAAUUUUGGAACAUAAGUUAUAGGAAAUAAAAAAAUCCUCAUAAUAAGUAGAUUGUCUUUAUUAGAACACGGGCUGUGGUUGGACAAGUUAUUUUGUUGAACAGUUUACUCAAAGGGUUUUACUUCAGUGAACAAUGCGG